ACCUCAGUGGUGUAGUGGUAUCACGCAUCCCCGGUAUGGAUGAAAUGCGGGUCCGACUCUCGUCUGAGGUC